ensembl:snoRNA SNORD115 Small nucleolar RNA SNORD115
GGGUCAAUGAGAAGAACUCAUGCUGUCUCAAAGAGAGAUGAUGACUUAAAAAUCAUGUUCAGUAGGAUUACACUGAGGCCC